rnacentral:rRNA from 1 species
UCCGAAGGGGGCUAGCGUUGCUCGGAAUCACUGGGCGUAAAGCGCACGUAGGCGGCUCUUUAAUUCAGGGGUGAAAUCCUGGAGCUCAACUCCAGAACUGCCUUUGAUACUGGGGAUCUCGAGUCCGGAAGAGGUGAGUGGAACUCCGAGUGUAGAGGUGAAAUUCGUAGAUAUUCGGAAGAACACCAGUGGCGAAGGCGGCUCACUGGUCCGGUACUGACGCUGAGGUGCGAAAGCGUGGGGAGCAAACAGG